rnacentral:rRNA from 1 species
GACGAACGCUGGCGGCGUGCCUAAUACAUGCAAGUAGAACGCUGAAGGAGGAGCUUGCUUCUCCGGAUGAGUUGCGAACGGGUGAGUAACGCGUAGGUAACCUGCCUGGUAGCGGGGGAUAACUAUUGGAAACGAUAGCUAAUACCGCAUAAGAGUAGAUGUCGCAUGACAUUUGCUUAAAAGGUGCAACUGCACCACUACCAGAUGGACCUGCGUUGUAUUAGCUAGUUGGUGAGGUAACGGCUCACCAAGGCAACGAUACAUAGCCGACCUGAGAGGGUGGUCGGCCACACUGGGACUGAGACACGGCCCAGACCCCUACGGGAGGCAGCAGUAGGGAAUCUUCGGCAAUGGACGGAAGUCUGACCGAGCAACGCCGCGGGAGUGAAGAAGGUUUUCGGAUCGUAAAGCUCUGUUGUAAGAGAAGAACGAGUGUGAGAGUGGAAAGUUCACACUGUGACGGUAUCUUACCAGAAAGGGACGGCUAACUACGUG